UUUUAUUUGUGAAUGUGGCCUGGUAGUGGGGGACGGUUUUCCGAAAGGAACGCUAAGCCGAAACGUCCUACGGGAGAGGCAGGGGACCUUCGGGCCUUGCGCUAUCAGAUGAGCCUAGGUCGGAUUAGCUAGUUGGUGAGGUAAUGGCUCACCAAGGCUACGAUCCGUAACUGGUCUGAGAGGAUGAUCAGUCACACUGGAACUGAGACACGGUCCAGACUCCUACGGGAGGCGGCGGUGGGGAAUAUUGGACAAUGGGCGAAAGCCUGAUCCAGCCAUGCCGCGUGUGUGAAGAAGGUCUUCGGAUUGUAAAGCACUUUAAGUUGGGAGGAAGGGUUGUAGAUUAAUACUCUGCAAUUUUGACGUUACCGACAGAAUAAGCACCGGCUAACUCUGUGCCAGCAGCCGCGGUAAUACAGAGGGUGCAAGCGUUAAUCGUAAUUACUGGGCGUAAAGCGCGCGUAGGUGGUUCGUUAAGUUGGAUGUGAAAUCCCCGGGCUCAACCUGGGAACUGCAUCCAAAACUGGCGAGCUAGAGUAUGGUAGAGGGUGGUGGAAUUUCCUGUGUAGCGGUGAAAUGCAUAGAUAUAGGAAGGAACACCAGUGGCGAAAGCGACCACCUGGACUGAUACUGACACUGAGGUGCGAAAGCGUGGGAGCAAACAGGAUUAGAUACCCUGGUAGUCCACGCCGUAAACGAUGUCAACUAGCCUUGGGAGCCUUGAGCUCGUAGUGCGCAGCUAACGCAAUAAGUUGACGCCUGGGAGUACGGCGCAGGUUAAACUCAAUGAAUUGACGGGGGCCCGCACAGCGUGGAGCAUGUGGUUUAAUUCGAAGCAACGCGAGAA
rnacentral:rRNA from 1 species